rnacentral:rRNA from 1 species
UACGUAGGGAGCAAGCGUUAUCCGGAUUUACUGGGUGUAAAGGGCGCGCAGGCGGGCCGGCAAGUUGGAAGUGAAAUCCCGGGGCUUAACCCCGGAACUGCUUUCAAAACUGCUGGUCUUGAGUGAUGGAGAGGCAGGCGGAAUUCCGUGUGUAGCGGUGAAAUGCGUAGAUAUACGGAGGAACACCAGUGGCGAAGGCGGCCUGCUGGACAUUAACUGACGCUGAGGCGCGAAAGCGUGGGGAGCAAACAGG